UGCGUGCGUGUGUGCUGGGAUAUGUGUACGCGCAGGUAUAAAAACCCCAGACUUGAUGUAGCCAAACGGUGGAGUUGCCGUGAUGUAGCCAUUGAAAAGAGGGAAAAGAUUUGGGCGUUCAUGCGCCCGUGGCGGCGUUCGUGCGCCGGCCGGAAAAAUCCUCGUGUCCAGUGUUCUUCUUCUUCCACCUCCGUUCGAGUGAGAGGAGAGGUAGCUAGAGGGCUAUGGUUCCAACAAUUGGUAUCAUGAGCUGGUUCAUCUUGGCUGUCGUCCCCUUGCCGGAGGCGUGCCGGCGGUGGCGGCGUUCGCCGGCGGCUGUGCGGUGAAGCUUCGGGCCGUGUGUCGGUCUAUGGAGGUGCGCGGCGUGGCGAGGAGGCCGCAGUGGCUGCGGCGGCACGGUGAGGAGGCCACGGAGGACCUGCGUGGUGGCGGCUUCAAUGACAAACAGCGGCAUGGCGGCAUGGAGAUGCUGCGCUGCGGUUGAGGCCGCAGCGGUGCAGGGCAAUAAGCCAUGGCGGUGAGCCGGGCGCGAUCGUUGCGUGUUAUGGGUGCGCACUGGACGCGUCGGGCGCGCCGGGACCGCGGGCGCAUGUAUGAGCGUGCGGUUGACGUUGGGAGGAGGCGUAUGUCGCCGUUGUGCUCGAGUCCGUGCUCGAGUUCGGCUACAUCCUUCCGGCGUUUGUCGCUGGCGGUUGCCAUGGCGGACGCGGAGGCGGCGCGCGGUGAGCGUCUCGUGCGGUCGGGCUCGUCGGGUGCGCGCGAGACGUGCGGGAUGCACUGGUGCGGUCGGGCUCGUCGGGCGCGUCGGGUGCGCGCGGGACAUGCGGGGGGCAGAGGGACGCUAGGCGUGUGUCGCUUGCGGAGAAGGAGCUCGGCGUAUGUCGCCGGGGUCGUGACAGAGCACGGUGCGACCGGCGUCAGUGCGCCAGGUCGGGUCCGUGGCGGUGCGACCGACGUCGAUGCGUCGGGUCGGGUCCGCGGGCUGGGUCACGGCCGUGACGAUGACAAUGACAGGAGCUGCAACAACUCCGAUGACGGCGAGCAGGCGACACGUCACAUUGUCGGACGGAGACGGUCAAGGCGACGGUCGACGACUAGCCAUGUCAAGAUUAGAGGGAGAAUUGUUAGGCAUAAUCUUUGACAUGAGAGUGGAGCGGCCGGCCGGGUCAUACGUGGAGUUAGUUAGAUGCAUGCAUGCUAUCUACCAGGUCGUGUGGCCGGCCGUUGAGGAACUGAUGCGCGCAUGGAUAUGGACGCCGUGCAUGUAGCUAGCUUAAUGGUAUAGUUAGUACUUGCGUGUGAAUGGGUUAGUGGCCGUGAGUUCAGGCCGGUGAUGUGUGCGUGCGUGUGUGCUGGGAUAUGUGUACGCGCAGGUAUAAAAACCCCAGACUUGAUGUAGCCAAAGGGUGGAGUUGCUGUGAUGUAGCCAUUGAAAAGAGGGAAAAGAUUUGGGCGUUCGUGCGCCGACCGGAAAAAUCCUCGUGUCCAGUGUGUCUCCUUUCUCCUACCUCUGUCCGUGAGUGAGCUGAGAGAAAGAGAGCAGCCAGGCUCGGCCACAACACAGGCCUCAUCGCCGUCGAGCUCGCGGUCCGCCGUGGACAGCGGCGACCACUGGACGGCCUCCUUGAAAAGCAUGUCGCGCUCGAGCCGGACAAAUGGCGACGCCUCGAGGCGGGUGGCCACGAGGCGGGUGGCCACCGGAUGUGUGCCUGGGCAUGAGUGCUCUAUCUGCGCUGUGUGCUCUAGCACCUGGCCGUGCGCGAUGUGUGCUAGGCGUGCGUGUGCCUGGGCGUGCUUGUGUGUGUUAGUUACUGCUGUACGUACAUUUUGUGCGUGCAUGCUCUUGCACCUGGGCUUGAGUGCGUGAUCUGUGCGUGUGUUGUGUGCGUGCGUGCUCUAGCACCUGGGCGCCCGACUGUUGCUGCUGCUACUGUUGCAUACACGGAGAAAACCGCCGUAGUACGAGCUCGCCCACUGUCUGGCGCGCCCUCGCCGAGCUCACCACCGUCCCCGGGCUCGGACCGUCGACGGUACCCUCCGCGCACCACAUCCGGCACACGCACAGGAGCAGCAGCAUCUCGGCGACGCUACCGGAGCGUGGGGAGAGGAGGAGCACAAGCAGCACAACACAGGGCGGCAGAUGGAUGAGGUAUUCGAGCAGUCGGUUGCGGGACGAACAGAGAAGAAGACGUAAGCAUCUAAUUUGGAUUGGUUUUGGCAAGAGUGGCAUUUUGGUCAUUCAAACUAUAGUGUAAUCUCAAAUCGGUUAGAAAGGGCAAAUCCUCAAGUUUUUGACAAAGUUGUGGUAAAUCAUCAACAUCAAUAAAAAAGAGGGCAAAUCCUCAAAGUGCAGGGAAAGGUAUGGCAAAUCCUCAAGUUCCCCCUAAAAAAAACCUUUUCUCGAAGUUAAAGCACUGGUGCCUCUUCGUCUCUAUCAUCUCCGUCAAUCCUCUUCUCAAAACAAAAAAAAACUCCGUCAAUCCUAGCCUGCUCAUGACCACAUCCACAUACACCAGUGCCUUAAAUAAGGAUCCGCCGAAGGAAGAUUUCACUGCUGGCUUAUGCGAAACUAAUUCCCGACCUAUCCAGGCGCUACUUCUUGUCUCUUAUCUUCAAUUUUUUUUGUUUUGGCGCUGUCCUCAAACCCUAGCUCUGCUGAUCUUAGGUUGGGCACAAAGCUGCGACGAACCCGUGUGUGUAGGUCUCAGCUCGUUGGCGCGAGUUCUCGCCUUCCUCAUUUCUGGUGCGGUCGGCCCUCCGCCAAUAAUGAAGCAGAGGUGCCAAAGCAGAUUUUGAAGAAAUAGUAAGACAGGAUAUGUGUCUGCUGGCUGAGCCCAGUUGUGGGCCUCCUCGUUGUUCAUGAUGUCGGGUUUCCACCUACGUAAUUUGCUACAGCUUCACAUCAUUCCUACUUCCUCCAUAGCAGGUGAUUCUUCACAUGUAUUAACAUCAUUUUUGUCGUAAAAAAGUGGCGAUUUCAUAUCUUAUAAGAAGUCUCAUGCAUUACCUCACUUGCCUAGUUUUUGCGCCUCAUUUCAAAUAACAAUUACAAACCUUGAUGCUCCAAAUGAGAGGCCACUCGAAAGAUAGAUUUGAUCUAGAAUAGAAGUUAUGAAACCUUGAUGAUCUACAUGAGAGGCCACUCGAAAGAUAGAUUUGAUCUGGCAUAGAAGUUAUGAACCUUGAUGAUUCAGGUGAGAGGCCACUCAGUAGGUUGCUUGGUGUGACUUCGUCCGACGGCGCGACGUUGCGUAGUUCAAUCAGAAGACUUUGAUGUUGUUGGUAGUGUGCUGGUUAGGUAGCAGAUUUGGCUUACUUUGAUUUUUAGGUGUGUGCUGCGAGCGGUCGGCCGUAUGUCUUCUUAUGUGUUAUGGUUGACUUGGCAAGUAUUACGUGUUGAGCAAUUUUGGUUGAGUCCGUGUGGAGUUCUGUAUGUAGUCCAUGUAUGUGUCUUAUUUGUAUCUGCGUGUUCACGUUUGACUCUUUGUUUUUGACGUUGUGUCCACGUUUGGAAUUGGAUGCACGUGAGCUUCCGUAUCUUCAACGGUUUAUCCCUAAAUACUGUACGUGGUCAUGAUUGUUGCUAACAAAGCCUUGUUUUUUUCUUCUGAA